CGCGCAGGCGGUCAGGUAAGUCUGAUGUUAAAGCCCGGGGCUCAACCCCGGUUCGCAUUGGAAACUGUCUGACUUGAGUGCAGGAGAGGAAAGUGGUAUUCCACGUGUAGCGGUGAAGUGCGUAGAGAUGUGGAGGAACACCAGUGGCGAAGGCGACUUUCUGGCCUGUAACUGACGCUGAGGCGCGAAAGCGUGGGGAGCAAACA
rnacentral:rRNA from 1 species